UUUCCACUGCCUUUGGGCUUUGAUUAGCACUGGUGCCACGUGGGUGGGAGUUUGUGACUCCUGUGUCUGAGGGACCACAUGGAAAGUGUGUGCCCCAUGCUGCAGAAGAACCUCCACCGUUUUUGUGUGCCCUCCUCGUGCAGCCAGAUGAAGAGCCGUCAACCCUUCGCUGUCGGAAGCACUGAUGUUUUCGGAACUGAUGAGUUCUUCCACUACUUCAGAGUGCCCGUUUUCUGCAGCAAGAUGUAGUGCUGUCCUAUUGAAAGGGCCUCUGGCUAGAACAGCGGCCCCUUCAUCUAUCAGCAGCUUAGUUGUUGCUGCAUGGCCGCUGCGAGAUGCCAAGUGCAGAGCGGUGUACCCUUCUGCGGUCGCUGCCUCGAUGUCUGCGCCGUGUUUAAGGAGCAGCCUGGAGGUGCUGGUGUGGCCAGUUUCAGCAGCUAUGUGGAGAGCAGUCUGCAGGAGCACGUUCUGUACGUUGACGUCCGACUCCAGGUCUAUGAGAAGCCGAGCCACUCGGUAGUGUCCUCGCUGAGCAGCCAAGUGCAGCGAGGUCCUCCCAUCUGCAGUCUGCACGUUGACGUUUGCACCCUGCUGUUUGGCCAGAAGCUUUACGAUGGGGAGAUGACCUUGCCAGGCGGCAUAGUGCAGCGGCACCCAGUCAUCCUUUCCUUUGAUGUGCACAUUAACGCCUCUUCUCAGGAAGAUCCGCACGAUAUUCUCUUGGCCAUACUGACAGGCUAUGUGGAUGGGGGCUCUGCCUUCAAAAUCUACCUCAUUUAAGGAGGCAUUCUUAUCAAGCAGCAUUUUGGUGCUGAAAUCAUCCCCGUUUUGGGCAGCAAAGUGAAGAGCAGUCCACUGAUCCUCGUCUUUGGCAUUAACAUUGAUUUUCCUAGCCAUAAUCAGCUCUGCAAUGCUUUUAAACUUCUUCUCAAUGGCUAUGUGAAGAGGGGUGGAUCCCUUCUUGUUGGUGAGGUUAGGGUUAGCAUUGUACAGAAGGAGCCAUUUGACACAUUCUUCUUGACCAGCUUCAACAGCCAAGUGCAAAAGACUGGAGUUCCCAUCUAAAACAAUAUCAACAUCUUGAGGCUGGAGUAUCUUCAUCAGCUUGCUGGUAUCUCCAGAUAAAAUGGCCUCUGUUAGUUUCCUUUUCUGUAUGUCUGUGGUACCAAUAUCUAGAUGGAUAAAAGCAAGACAUUUUUUUACAAUGAGAGUGGUGAAACACUGGAGCAGGUUUGCCAGAGGGGUAGUGAAUGUCCCAUCCCUGUUAAAAUGUAAGGCCAGGCUGGUUGGAACUGUGAGCAACCUGAUCUAAUUGAAGAUGUCUCUGCUCACUGAAGCUGGGGUUGGACCAAAUGACUUUUUAAAAGGUCCCUUCCAAACCAAACUAUUCUAUGAAAAAGACAGCAUCAUAAUUCCAAUACCCAUUAAACUUUGCUUGCCUAUGGCUAACAGAUCUAGUGGCUUCAGCAAUGACUUGACUGCAAGGAAAUAUUCUCCCCUCUCCCCCAUCUCCCUCCUCUACAGAAGUUGUUUAAGAAUCUUUUCAAGUCAGAUUUGGAGCCUCACUUACUCCAUUUGUUGUUGAAUGAAAAACACAGCAUGCUGUAGUUGAUCUCCUUACACUAAUCACUCUUUGCCUAACUGGAAAACAGAAGUUUAGGUUUUGCAGCACUGGGUUGGAAGGGGAGUGACAUGUGUGCAACAGCAGGGGGUUUUAUUACAAUGUUCAUGGAAACUGCUCAAAAAGUGGCUUGAGUCUUCUAAAAUAGUAGGUGCUCAGACUGAAAAAGCCUCAAACUAAGUUGACCUGACUGAGCAUUGGCUUCAGUCCCACCUUGAGUGGGGCUCUGGACUGACUGAGCUUCCUUUCAACCAACCUUUACGUGAUUGAUUCUGUAACUGCUUUUAUGGGAACUCUGGUAACUUUUCCAAAAAGUGAAUGAGAUUUAUUAUUUUUCAUUAGAUCAUGUGGGUGGGAAACACUUUCUUUCUUUGUUUCUUUAAUUAAUCCCCUCCAAUAAACACAUCUGUAGUACUUACAGCAAGAGCAAACAAGGCUGGCAGCAGUUUCUAGAAUGCAAUUUCUUUAUAUGACUACUCUCCAGCCCACUGAUUGCCAUGCCCCAGUACAAACUACUAAAAAAUCCUAAACCAAAACAACCAACCAAAACAAAAAAAAACCAAAC